UCUGUCUCAUUUGUACUCCGUGUCUAACAUGGACUACACGCGUUACGUGGGCCGCUGCCUGAUCUUCCUCAUCCUGGCGAUCGUAUUCGAUGUGGCCGGCCUCGUCAUCUUCCUCAUUGGCAUCUUUGCGCCACUCAGUUUCUGGGACUUCUUGGUAUUCACUGGACCCCUCAUCAUCUUCCUCAGCCUGGUCUUCUGGGCGUUUUGGUACCUGGGGAACAUCGACGUCACCGACGAAGAGUUGCUUCUGCCGCAGUAGGAACCGCAAUGUCGUUCGUUGGGGCCGGGAGUCAGCGGCUUGUGCGAGGAACUGCCGUCUGGAGAAGCUCGCUUCCGGAAUUCGAACGGGGGAUUUGAAAUUGCUCACCAAGAUUCAAGCAAAUCAGACGGAGCGAUGAUGGCGCCUGUCCAGCAAAGAGGGGGAUCAUUUGAAGAUGGUAUGGAGGACAGAGCAGGCAGUUUUGCUGCAGGGAUACUGGAGACGUCACAUCUUCAAGGUCCCAUCUGCGAUACCCUGCGACUGCAUUGCAGGACAUCCUGCACUUCAAGGGGGGUUUUUUGCCGUUAGGUGAUUUGUCUGUUGUGUAUAUGUAUCCAAUUGUAUUUGUCAGUAAAAGGUGAUAUAGUCAACUAUAUUUUCGUGCGUAGAAGGAAUAUCCUCGUUUGCUCUGAAUGUAAAACCAGCCUAACAGGCUGUGUCACUUCUACCGAAAGAAUGGUGGUCCAAAAAAGAAAGGAAACUGUUUACCCACAUCGGAAGGUCUGUCUUUCAUCUCUGCUGGAAGGAAUGGAGCAAUAUUUACCUCAAAAAUGAGAAGUGCUGCUUCUGGGUGACAUCUAGGACCGAUAACAUCUGUAGACCUUCAAUCUAUCACAUCACUUUAAGUCUUACAUAUUAGGGAUACACCAAAACUGGUCUUUAAAAUAUAUACAGAAUUAAUCACAAGUGUUUGUGCAAUCAUUAUCUAAUUUAUUCUGUUCUCGUCUUAAUAAGGUUUCUUUUUUGUUUAAUCACUGACCAUGUUAUUCACCUAUAUGAAUAAAAAUGAACUUGCCAAUAUUAGAACACGCGUGGUUUGGGGUUGAAUGUAGGACAACCAGGUUCUGUCAUGGCCACGUGUUACCCCUGCAUCCAAUGAGACAGCCAGAAAAACGCCACCAAGCCCCGCCCUCCUGUAUAUGCAGCCCUCCGCAAGAACAAUGUGGUCAGCAGCUGUAGAACUAGGUCCUAACCUAAAAAGGUGAUUCAGCCGUUCAUGACUUGCCCUCUUUAUCAUAGUCAAUAUCACUUGUAGGGAAGUUUUUAAAUAUCCCUUAUUCAGAAAUUUCUGAUAUUUUUAUUUCCUCUUAAAUUUUAUUUAAUCCCUCAUUUCCUUUAUUUCUUCCUGCUUGGAACUAUUAGAGUUAUUAUUGUUUUUUUAAUAGCAUUAAAGUCUUGCUUAAUGUAA